rnacentral:rRNA from 1 species
UCCAGAGUCAUAUCACCCUGCAGCUCUUGCCUGGGUUCUCACAAGUUAAGCAGGGUUGAGUCUGGCCAGUACCUGGAUGGGAGGUACUCCUCAGGAACAUUAAUGUUGCUAUUAGAA